GCUUACGGCCAUACCUCUCUGGCUCUGCCUGAUCUCAGAAGCUAAGCAGAGUAGGGCCUGGUUAGUACUUGGAUGGAAGGCCGCCUGGGAAUCCCAGGUGCGUAAGCU
ensembl:rRNA 5S_rRNA 5S ribosomal RNA